GACGAACGCUGGCGGCGUGCUUAACACAUGCAAGUCGAACGGAAAGGCCCUGCUUUUGUGGGGUGCUCGAGUGGCGAACGGGUGAGUAACACGUGAGUAACCUGCCCUUGACUUUGGGAUAACUUCAGGAAACUGGGGCUAAUACCGGAUAGGAGCUCCUGCUGCAUGGUGGGGGUUGGAAAGUUUCGGCGGGUGGGGAUGGACUCGCGGCUGAUGAGCUUGUUGGUGGGGGAGUGGCUUACCAAGGCUUUGACGGGUAGCCGGCCUGGGAGGGUGACCGGCCACAUUGGGCCUGAGAUACGGCCCAGACUCCUACGGGAGGCAGCAGUGGGGAAUAUUGCCCAAUGGGCCGAAGCCUGAUGCAGAAACGCUGCGUGCGGGAUGACGGCCUUCGGGUUGUAAACAGCUUUCGCCUGUGACGAAGCGUGAGUGACGGUAAUGGGUAAAGAAGCACCGGCUAACUACGUG
rnacentral:rRNA from 1 species